rnacentral:misc_RNA from 1 species
UAUAAUGUAAUUUUUGGGGACAAAAGAGUAUAUUUUGCAUUUAUUGGUGUGAUGGCUCAAAUAUAGUUUUGUAUCCUUUCUGUCACACUCCAUUGUGUCCUUAAUGUUUUAUAGGAAUGACUAGUUGGCUAAUGUUAGGCCCAGCAAGUCACCGAUUGUUGAGUCUCUGUCACUUUACUCUUGUAGGUUUCUCUGUUUACAAGUGAUGUGAGGAUUGCAUGUCUCCUCGUAUUGAUUAUGUACUCUUGUAGGUUUU